GAAUGGCCUCCCAUUGUUGUUGGUUGACAAUUAAGCUAUUAUCUUUUUUACAUCACAUUGUGACCAGGAAUGUAUUUUUAUAAAACAAGACAUUACAGGUUUGAAAACUUGAUAUUUUGAUAUGAUUUUUGGCGUCUGCUGUGUAAAAUUUCAGUGGCAAAAUUUAUAUACCUUCAUUGGCAUUCUAGUUUCAAAUUUCUUUUUUGAAAAAGUGUACAAAGAACUCCUUUUAUAAGUUUGAAUAAAUUCACUGCUGCUAACAACUGAAAUCUUAAGAGCGUCUCAAAUACGGAUGGUAUUGACUUUGUAUAAGCUUGUCAUGUCCAUCGAUCAAUCAGUUACUAUUUUACAUUAUAUUUUUACUUCCGCUAAAUAAUGAUCAGGUAUUUAAUAGUUUAACACACCUGAAAGGAAAAAAAGAUCACUUAAAAAUUGGAUGCCUUCAGAAGUUAUCAAUAAAAUACCUAUUGUUGACUGUGUGCCGUAAUCACAACUUUUAUAGGAAAGUUUAUGUGGUAUAUGCCAAGUCAGAAGAAAGUCAAGUUGACAACUGCAACUGCACUAGGAACGUGGGGAGCUGAGAAGCUUCAGAGAACUAAGAAGAUAUGGAUGAACUAUAACAGUUUCCUAUAGGAAUAUUUCAACAUGAGUGCCAUGUAUACAGUAACAGUCUGGCUAGCAUAUACUGUGUCAUGCUCUGCUGUGUUUGGUUUCUUCU